rnacentral:lncRNA from 1 species
AGAUGUUCCCAGGACGCGAGCUAAGUCUGCCCGGCCGGCGCGCGCCGCUUCCGCUUUGGUGGGAAGGACCUCCCUUCCCCCUUAUAGAAACACUUUCUCCAGGCCGGGCCGGGCUUGGUAAACCUCAGCCGUGCCUGGGUAGAGGACGCCGGGCUGGGCCGAGCGGGGGUGGAAUGAGGGCGUCUAGAACAGAGAAAACUAAAUGGGGUCGUCCCCCCAGUAAUCUGGAAAACAGUUACAGCAACAGGCUCCUCUCAUCAGACGGCAGUGCUGGUCGUUUCCUCACUGGUUUGCGGGGAAGGCUGGGCAGAAAAAGGAUGCAACCUUGUUCUCAACCACUUGCUAUCUCGUAGGGUCUUGCUGUGUCACCCAGAUUGGAGUGCAGUGGUGUGAUCACAGCUCACUGCAGCCUUGACCUCUAGGCUCAAGUGAGCCCCUACCAAGCAGCUGGGACUACAAGUGCGCACCACCAUACCCAGCUAAUUUUUUCAUUUUUUGUAGAGACAGGGUCUCACUGUAUUGCUCAGGCUGGUCUUGAACUCCUGAGAUCAAGCGAUCCUCCCACUGUGGCCUCCCAAAGUGCUGGGAUUAUAGAUGUGAGCUACCAUGCCUGGCCUCAAAACAUUUUUGUAAUCUGGCUGUUUUCCAGUUGGAUGGACUCUGAGUGCAAUCUCAAUGUCUUUCCUGAUCAGUAAGAGGAAGAAAGGAGCUGUUGUAUAAUCUUUGGUCCACUUGCUAUAUAGGAAUAGAUCUUUACUGCUACAUAUACAUAAUUCUGUACGGAACAGUCAUGUUCCUUGGAUUCUGACAGCAUCGCCAAUAUGUGCUUUGAAACCUCCUACCUGGCACAGAUAUGAUGAAUCUACUCAUAUCCUUGAACCUCUUUUUCAUCACUUUUCAUCAUUCAAACAUUUUUAUUGAAUCUAUAUGCUAAGCUCUGUAUAUAAAGUAUUAGAUAACUUGUACAGAGUUCAUGUGGGGUAUGAUAAACAAUGAGACUGGAAAGGUAAGCAGUGGGUAGAUCAUCCUUUAUCCUAAGAGCAGUGUAGCCUUUGAAUGGUUUUAAGCAGGAGAGUAGCAUAAUCAGAUUUGCAUUUUAGAUCCAUGUGGUUGCAGUGAGGAGGAUAGAGAGAGCAAGACUGAAGUCAGGGGGGCCAGGCAAGGUUUUUGUAGUACCUGAGGAGAAAAACGAGAAAUGAUGUGGUCUGGACUAGGAAAGUGAUAGUGGUGAUGGAGAGGACGUAGAAAUGCCCAGGGGGCAUCCAAGUAGAAACAUCUCUCCAACUCGUCAGAACUUCCCAACUGUGUGCCUCAGGAAGAGUUUACGGUGGUGCUGCAUAAUGGGCUUCACAAUUCUCAGGGCAGCACAAGCUUCCUGAGUCAGAGAGCAAUCUUGGUUAUGCCAGAUUGCAUCAUCCAGCAUAUAAAACACCAUCAUUUACUAUGUGUGUACUGACAUGGAAAAGGUUGGGAAGCACUGAUGUAGGCUGUGGGAUAAAUAAUUCUGAAGCUCAGGAGAGGAAUCAGGAUGAUAGAUAAGAGAUUUGUGAGUCCUCAGAACGUUGGUGGUUACUGAAGUCAUGGAGUUGAGGAGAUCAUGCAAGGAGAGAAAAGAAAGGCAGGAACAGAACCCCAAGGAACAUCAACAUUAGAGGGGGGUCUCCAGAGAGGGAGAAAGAAAACUGAAUGAAUGCUGUCACCAGAACCCAAGAAAGGGAUUUCCAAAAAAAAAGACCAAAUACAGUCGGUCCUUCUUAUUGGUGGCUUCCACAUCCAUGCACUCAAUCAAUCUCAGAUCAGAAAAAAUAAAAGAAUAAAAACUACAUCUCUCUGAAGACUAGAUCAGAAAAAAAAAUAACUACAGCAAUAAAAAUACAAAAUUUUAAAAAUUUAGUGUUAACUAUUUACAUAGUAUUUACAUGAUAUUACAUAUUAUAAGUAAUCUAGAGAUGAUUUAAAGUAUAUAGGAGAAUACCCCUAGGUCAUUUGCAAAUACUAUACUAUUUUAUGUAAGGGACUUAAGCAUCCUUUGAUUUUUGUAUCCUUGUGGGUCCUGGAACCAAUUCCCCAUGAAUAGGAAGGGAUGAUUUUUUGGCCCCGAUGUUGCUGAGUCAAGUUGGAUCAGGACAGAGACAUCCCCACUGACUCUGGCCACAUGUCAUUGGAGACUUUGAUAAAACCAGACUUUAUUUGUUUAUUUAAAAUAGAGAUGGGGUCUCACUCCAUUGCCCAGGCUGUUCUCGAACUCCUGGGCUCAAGCAGUCCUCCCCUCUUGGCCUUCCAAAGUGUUAGGAUUACAGGCGUGAGCCACCACGCCUGACCUGGCAAAACCAGAUUCUGAAGGAUUGAGAAAAAUUUACAAAGUAAGGAAUGGAGACAGGAGAUGUUUAAAACUUUUUGGCUGGGCGCGGUGUCCCAUGCCUGUAAUUCCAGCACUUUGGGAGGACGAGGUGGGUGGAUCACCUGAGGUCAGGAAUUCAAGACCGGCCUGGCCUACAUGUGAAACCCCGUCUCUACUAAAAAUACAAAAAUUAGCUGUGUGCGGUGGCAUGUGCCUGUAAUCCCAGCUACUCAGGAGGCUGAGGCAGGAGAAUCGCUUGAGCCUGGGAGGUGGAGGUUGCAGUGAGCCAAUUGCGCCAUUGCACUCCAGCCUGGGUGAUAGAGUGAGACUCUGUCUCAAAAACAAAACAAAAACACAAACAACAACAAAAAAACUUUUCUAAGAUUUUGGCUAUGCUGUGAGGGAAAAAUUAGGCAGAUAGAUGGGUGGUACAGUAAGAGUUAUUUUAGAAAACACUGGCUAAUUUUAAAAAUUAUUCAUUUAAGAUUAGUUUUUAUAAAAUGUAAUAUGUCCAUAUGGUUUAAUAAUCAAAUAAUGCAGAAGCAAUUAUUUGCUGCAUUCCUUACCUCCAGCAAUGAGCCAUUUUAACUUUUUGGCUGAUUCUUCUAUAUGGCUAAAUAUGCUUAUACUGCCAUUCCUUUUUUUUUUUUUUUUUUUUUUUUAAGAUAGAGUCUCACUCUGCUGUCCAGGCUGGAGUGCAAUGGCACAAUCUCGGCUCACUGCAACCUCUGCUUUCCAGGCUCAAGCAAUCCUCCCACUUCGGCCUCCCGAGUAGCUAGGACUAUAGGCACACGCCACCAUGUUCCGCUAAUUUUAAAAUUUUUUUUGUAGAGAUGAAGUCUUAUUGUCUUACCCAGGCUGGUCUGUAACUCCUGGGCUCAAGUGAUUCUCCUGCCUUGGCCUCUCAGUGUUGAGAUUACAGACAUGAGCCACUGCACCCGACCUGAGGACCUCAUUUUUAUGGGCACUAAUUGCACAUCCUUUUUGUUUUUGUUUUUGUUUUUUUUUUUUUGAGACGGAGUCUCGCCCUGUCGCCCAGGCUGGAAUGCAGUCGUGUGAUCUCAGCUCACUGCAACCUCCACCUCCCGGGUUCAAGCGAUUCUCCUGCCCCAGCCUCCCAAGUAGCUGGGAUUACAGGCGCGUGCCACUACGCCCAGCUAAUUUUUGUAUUUUUAGUAGAGAC